GUCCUCCUGUAGUUCAUAAGCCUGAUGACUGGGUUUCCUGCACACAGGAGAGAUGUGCCUCCUCUGACACUUUGUUAUGACGUGCGCACAUCACCUGUCUAAUA